GACGUAGGGCGCGAGCGUUGUCCGGAUUUAUUGGGCGUAAAGAGCUCGUAGGCGGCUUGUCGCGUCGUCUGUGAAAUCCCGCGGCUCAACCGCGGGUCUGCAGUCGAUACGGGCAGGCUAGAGUUCGGUAGGGGAGGCUGGAAUUCCUGGUGUAGCGGUGAAAUGCGCAGAUAUCAGGAGGAACACCGGUGGCGAAGGCGGGUCUCUGGGCCGAUACUGACGCUGAGGAGCGAAAGCGUGGGGAGCGAACAGG
rnacentral:rRNA from 1 species